GUAGAGAUAGUUCAAUUGGUUAGAAUAUCGGCUUGCCAAGUCGAAGGUUGCGAGUUCAAGUCUCGUUCUCUACUCCA
rnacentral:tRNA from 1 species